ACACGAUCGGCGCAUGCAUGAGUAACGCGUAUGCAAUCUACCUUCGCCGCGGGCACAGUCCGGGGGGGACCGUAGUAGUACCCGGUAUAGUCUGUCAUACACCUGUAUAAAAGACGAGAGCUACGGUGGUCAACUGAUGGGCAUGCGUGCCAUUAGUAAGUUGGUAUCGGUAACGGCCUAGCAAGGUAUCGAUGGCUACGGGGUCUAAAAGGAUGAGCCCGCACACUGGUACUGAUACAUGGACCUGAUUCCUACGGGUGGCAGCAGUGAGGAAUAUUGGUCAAUGGGUGGGAGCCUGAACCAGCCAUGCCGUGUGCAGGAAGAUGGCCUUAUGGGUUGUAAACUGCUUAUCUAUGUGACGAACGGGUCUGACGUGUCAAUGAUUGACGGUUCCGUAGGAUUCAGCAUCGGCUAACUCCGUGCCAGCAGCCGCCGUAAUAGUGAGGAUCCGAGCGUUAUCCGGAUGUAUCAGGUUAAAAGGGUGCGUAGGCUGGCGAAUAAGUCAGUGCUGAAAGUCCGCGGCU
rnacentral:rRNA from 1 species